rnacentral:tRNA from 1 species
AUCUUUUGAUAGCUCAGUUGGGUAGAGCGUGGUGCUGAUAAUGCCAAGGUCACAGGUUCGAAUCCCAUAUGGGACA